rnacentral:tRNA from 1 species
GCGGGCGUGGCGAAAUUGGUAGCCGCACCAGACUUGGAAUCUGGUUUCCGGGCUUGACCUUCGAGGGAACAGCCCGGUGUGGGUUCGAAUCCCACCGCCCGCA